ACACAUGCAAGUCGAGCGGUAGCACAGAGAGCUUGCUCUCGGGUGACGAGCGGCGGACGGGUGAGUAAUGUCUGGGAAACUGCCUGAUGGAGGGGGAUAACUACUGGAAACGGUAGCUAAUACCGCAUAACGUCGCAAGACCAAAGUGGGGGACCUUCGGGCCUCAUGCCAUCAGAUGUGCCCAGAUGGGAUUAGCUAGUAGGUGGGGUAACGGCUCACCUAGGCGACGAUCCCUAGCUGGUCUGAGAGGAUGACCAGCCACACUGGAACUGAGACACGGUCCAGACUCCUACGGGAGGCAGCAGUGGGGAAUAUUGCACAAUGGGCGCAAGCCUGAUGCAGCCAUGCCGCGUGUGUGAAGAAGGCCUUCGGGUUGUAAAGCACUUUCAGCGGGGAGGAAGGCGAUAAGGUUAAUAACCUUGUCGAUUGACGUUACCCGCAGAAGAAGCACCGGCUAACUCCGUGCCAGCAGCCGCGGUAAUACGGAGGGUGCAAGCGUUAAUCGGAAUUACUGGGCGUAAAGCGCACGCAGGCGGUCUGUCAAGUCGGAUGUGAAAUCCCCGGGCUCAACCUGGGAACUGCAUUCGAAACUGGCAGGCUAGAGUCUUGUAGAGGGGGGUAGAAUUCCAGGUGUAGCGGUGAAAUGCGUAGAGAUCUGGAGGAAUACCGGUGGCGAAGGCGGCCCCCUGGACAAAGACUGACGCUCAGGUGCGAAAGCGUGGGGAGCAAACAGGAUUAGAUACCCUGGUAGUCCACGCCGUAAACGAUGUCGAUUUGGAGGUUGUGCCCUUGAGGCGUGGCUUCCGGAGCUAACGCGUUAAAUCGACCGCCUGGGGAGUACGGCCGCAAGGUUAAAACUCAAAUGAAUUGACGGGGGCCCGCACAAGCGGUGGAGCAUGUGGUUUAAUUCGAUGCAACGCGAAGAACCUUACCUGGUCUUGACAUCCACAGAACUUAGCAGAGAUGGCUUGGUGCCUUCGGGAACUGUGAGACAGGUGCUGCAUGGCUGUCGUCAGCUCGUGUUGUGAAAUGUUGGGUUAAGUCCCGCAACGAGCGCAACCCUUAUCCUUUGUUGCCAGCGGUUAGGCCGGGAACUCAAAGGAGACUGCCAGUGAUAAACUGGAGGAAGGUGGGGAUGACGUCAAGUCAUCAUGGCCCUUACGACCAGGGCUACACACGUGCUACAAUGGCAUAUACAAAGAGAAGCGACCUCGCGAGAGCAAGCGGACCUCAUAAAGUAUGUCGUAGUCCGGAUUGGAGUCUGCAACUCGACUCCAUGAAGUCGGAAUCGCUAGUAAUCGUAGAUCAGAAUGCUACGGUGAAUACGUUCCCGGGCCUUGUACACACCGCCCGUCACACCAUGGGAGUGGGUUGCAAAAGAAGUAGGUAGCUUAACCUUCGGGAGGGCGCUUACCACUUUGUGAUUCAUGACUGGGGUGAAGUCGUAACAAG
rnacentral:rRNA from 1 species